GUGUGAGAGUGUAAGUCAUCUGUCGUCCAGGAAAUUAAUUUUGUAAGGAAAGAUAUAUGAAAAAACAUAAAGAUAAGUGUAGCCACAACAAGGAGAAGACAGGUUCUGUGAAAGCUGACAGAAAAAAGUGACGCCGAGCUAUUCAUGUUUCACGCUGUCUUUCUUAGUCAUUGUGUCCUCAAGACAAAAGCUGCCCUCAUAUCUAUCUAGACUUCACCAUUUCAUUCUUCAGAUUUCUCUUUUCAGACCAAUAAUAUUUAAAAAUAUAUUAUUUUUUAAAGUUGCGUGAAUUUCUAUUCAGAAUGUAUUAAUAUAUGACAAAAUUUCUUUAAUGAAAUAUGAUGAAGACAAUGCAAUCUACAGUUGAUGAAGAGUUUAGACAGCAACAAGAAUGAGGGAUAGCAUGCUUUUUUAUUUAUUGUACUGAACGUGAGAAGACAGAAAGAAAUACAGUUUUCUCAUUCCAUACCAGACAAGUAUGGAUGUUGUUUUCAUUUGAAUGCGUAUGUCAAUGUAUUAUUCCAA
rnacentral:lncRNA from 1 species